rnacentral:tRNA from 1 species
GGAGAGAUGGCCGAGCUGGCUGAAGGCACUCGCCUGCUAAGCGAGUAAACUGAGAGAUCGGUUUCGAGGGUUCGAAUCCCUCUCUCUCCGCCA